CCACAACAGUCCCAGAGUUAAGCUGAGCAGUGACGUGAGUGGCGGUGACUCGAAGCAGUGAACCUCAAGAACGAAGCUAGGGACUCAUUGAGGCGUCGGGCAGAUCAGAUCAGGUCGCCGCGUCGCCCCUUGAGCACCGCUGGGCUGCGUGGAGGCUUGGUGGAGGCCCAUACCGCGAAAAGUUAUCAUAUUAAAUGCAUAUUAGUGUCAUUAUUGCGUGCUAUGAUCGUUACCAGCGCGAAAUAGUGGUGCGAGGAGUCAACAGGGCGGUGGAACUGAGUGGUAGCUGAUGAGGCGUGGUGUCCCUGCCUGCCUGCCUGCCUCAUGGCCACCGCCGGGCGUCUCUGCGUGCAAGGUGUUGAUGGUUCACGGUCCUGCGUUUUUAGGAGGUGGAAGUGUUGCGUCAUCGUCACCGUCACCGUCACCGUCACUGUCAGCGCGCUUACUUACGACACAGUUACGAUGGUGUGACAGAGUUAUUUGGUGUUGUGUUGAUGAAUUUUCUCCGAGCACAAACCUGUAUAGCAGAAUGCACCUGGAGAAUGACUGCAGCCUGUUGGUGCCAUGUCACCUCUUGUGACAUGGCAGCCACAGCAGCACCAGCAGCACUGUUUGAGGAUGGUGCUGCUGUGAAGCUGGUGGCAUAGAAGCUGACCAGAGUGCUACAGGAGGAUAGCACACAGCAGCAGCAGCAGGACUGUCAGUGUUUUUUAUUUAAGCUUCACUAUCUUU